GACGGAGGGUGCUAGCGUUGUUCGGAAUGACUGGGCGUAAAGGGCGCGUAGGCGGUUUUAUAAGUUGGGCGUGAAAGCCCCGGGCUCAACCCGGGAACUGCGUUCGAUACUGUAAGACUAGAGUAUGGAAGAGGAAAGUGGAAUUCCUAGUGUAGAGGUGAAAUUCGUAGAUAUUAGGAGGAACACCAGAGGCGAAGGCGGCUUUCUGGUCCAUUACUGACGCUGAGGCGCGAAAGCGUGGGGAGCAAACAGG
rnacentral:rRNA from 1 species